rnacentral:rRNA from 1 species
GGACAUUCCACGUUCUCUGCGCCGCAGCUAACGCAUUAAGCGUCCCGCCUGGGGAGUACGACCGCAAGGUUAAACUCAAAGGAAUUGACGGGGGCCCGCACAAGCAGCGGAGCAUGCGGCUUAAUUCGAUGCAACGCGAAGAACCUUACCUAGGCUUGACAUGCAUUGAAAACUGUUAGAGAUAACAGGUCCGCAAGGGCUUUGCACAGGUGGUGCAUGGCUGUCGUCAGCUCGUGUCGUGAGAUGUUGGGUUAAGUCCCGCAACGAGCGCAACCCUCGUCUUGUGUUGCCAACAGGUAAUGCUGGGAACUCACAAGAGACUGCCGGGGUCAACUCGGAGGAAGGUGGGGACGACGUCAAGUCAUCAUGCCCCUUAUGUCUAGGGCUGCACGCAUGCUACAAUGGCCGAUACAAAGGGCUGCGAUACCGCAAGGUGGAGCGAAUCCCAUAGAGUCGGUCUCAGUUCGGAUUGAGGUCUGCAACUCGACCUCAUGAAGUUGGAGUUGCUAGUAAUCGCGGAUCAGCAACGCCGCGGUGAAUACGUUCCCGGGCCUUGUACACACCGCCCGUCACGUCACGAAAGUCGGUAACACCCAAAA